rnacentral:lncRNA from 1 species
CCUUGGCAGUUUUUUGACAGUGCUACUAUUUAGCAUUAGCGUGGGAAUGGAAGAAAUGAGAAAGGAGGUGACCCAGGGUCCAUACUCUAGUCUAAGGGAUCUAAUGGAACUUGAUGCCCAGAAAAAGCACUUCAGAAUUGCUUAGCAUUGACAAUUUUCAGUCUUGUCACACGAUUUUCCAUGACGUUUUACAGAAGAGAAAAGGAGGCCCAGAGAAGUAGUGAGACUGGAGGACAGGAGAGUUCCCUGACUCCCUCAAGGGACUUGCAAGGGUGUGGGUGGGGGGACUCAUUUUGCUCAAAUUGACCUCAAACCCCUUGAGGGAGGGGGAGCACGCAGGUGAGUGGGUGCAGGAGCCAGGUCAAGUGCCUUUAGAUGCUGGCAGGAACAAAUCCUGUACCAGCUUGCAACAGUGUCUAGCAGUUGCCCAUGACCUCUGGAGCCCCAGAAGAUGUGCGUUAUAAAUAAUGCCCUUUUAGCAGUUGCCAUCUGUGGACAAAUGGCUUCCCUGAAGCCUGGCCUUCUUCCUGCUCCAUCCCCCUUUCAGCUCCCCUUCUGCUGAGGGCCACUUCCACUGCUUAAUAAAGUCUUCACAUUCAACACUCUUCAAGUCCAUGUGACCUGAUUCUUCCUGGACACUUGACAAGAACCCAGUUACCAAGAGGUCUCUAGCAAUGCUAUCUAUUUCUUGGUACCAUUCUGAGAAACCAAGGACUUCUUCCCAUAAUGCCCUGUAUAUUGCUGGGAUGCAAUCAAGAGUCAAGGAAAACAACAUACCUGUUAGAAGCUCUUGGUACAUGUGAUGGUUAAUACUGAGUGUCAACUUGAUUGGAUUGAAGGAGGCAAAGUAUUGAUCCUGGGUGUGUCUGCGAGGGUGUUGCCAAAGGAAAUUAACAUUUGAAUCAGUGGGCUGUGGAAGGCAGACCCACCCUUAAUCUGGUGGACACAAUCUAAUCAGCUGCGAGUGAAUAUAAAGCAGGCAGAGAAAUGUGAAAAGGCAAGACUGGUCUAGUGUCCCAGCCUACAUCUUUCUCCUGUGUUGGAUGCUUCCUGCCUUCAAACAUUGGACUCCAAGUUCUUCAGUUUUGAGACUCAGACUGGCUCUCCUUUCUCCUCAAGCUUGCAGACAGCCUAUUGUGGGACCUUGUGAUCACGUAAGUUAAUAAACUCAGAUAUAUAUAUAUAUAUCCUAUUAGUUCUGUCCCUAUAGGGAACCCUGACUAAUACAGUACACUUGGUACACGUUCCUGUUGUUCCUCCUUCUGUAGUCAGAUUUUUUCUAAAAUAAGGACCUUCUCUUGGGAAUCUUCAAAGCCUUAUGAUGGUUGCUCUCACAUAUCAAUCAGCAAUCAAGAUGAUUGAUUCACAUAUCUCUUCAGACACCUCUUAGGACAUGUGGCCAAAGGCAAGAAGCAUUCUCUUCCUUUUCAGAUUUCAUCUUUUUCUCCAGGCUCUGGGGAGCUUCUUCGCAAGUGUCAAAAUCCUGCUUGUCAUGUGUUACAAAAGCAAACAGGUUUCUAAUGAGAUUUCACCUUCUGCCCAUUACAGAUUCCUCCAGAUUUCUUGCUCCCUGGAAGCUCUUGGGGUUGCUCAGCUGGUUCAGGCCCUGUUUUGGGAGCAGUUCCAGCAAAUGUGCCUAGAAUUGCACAGUUGACUGGUAGAGAGAGGCCUGUCUUCCCCUCUUUCCUUCCUGAAACCAGUGUGCUACUUUUACCUCUAGGUUCCAGCUGUGUUCAAGUCUUGUGACCAGGCUGUCUCACCUUACUCCUUUCCCAUCUGACCCUUUAAUUCUACCACAAAUUUGGCUGCCUAUCUGAAGAGAUUUUCCAUUUUGUCCACAUUUAGUUUGGUUUAGGGUACAGAAUUUGUUUUUUCCCCUAAAAUUAUCCCCAAGAGAAGCUUGCGAGGAGACUGAAUCCUUAAACUGCCAUGCAAUCAACAACUGAUUUGAGACAACUACUAUAUAGAGGGAAGAAGAAACACACAAAAACCCAGUUACAGGGCCAGCCCUUGGCAGAACUGAGAAAUUUCUAGCCAGGUCUUGGUAGUUUAACCUUCACAUAUCUCUAUUGUAUCAGGGACCAAAAUUGCCUUCUACCAGGUAUGUCACCCUCCAGAAACUUGGGGAUGCACCUCCCUUUGAUAGCCCAGUGCUCCUCACAUUUUUUUUUUUUUUUUUUUUUUUUUAGACAGAGUCUCGAUCUGUCUCCCAGGCUGGAGUGCAGCGGCACAAUCUUGGCUCAUUGCAACCUCCGCCUCCCGGGUUCAAGUGCUUAUCCUGCCUCAGCCUCCUGAGUAGCUGGCAUUAAAGGUGCCACCCACCACACCCAGCUAUUUUUUUUUUUUUUUAAGUAGAGACAGGGUUUCACCAUGUUGACCAGGCUGGUAUUGAACUCCUGACCUCAGGUGAUCUGCUCGUCUCGGCCUCCCAAAGUGCUGAGAUUACAGGCGUGAGGGCACCCGGCCUGGGUUUUUUUGUUUGUUUGUUUGUUUUGUUUUGUUUUGUUUUGUUUUUGUUUUUGUUUUGAGACAGUUUUAUUCUUGUUACCCAGGCU